UAGUCGUUUUGAGGGAGCCAAAUCAAAUUUUAGGGUUUCCGGAAUUGGAGCUUGUUCCUCAAGCCAUCUCUAUUCCUCUCCAAAAUGGAUCGUACGGUCAGCGCUUGCAGCACCAUUCUUCUGGAUGACCGGAACCUACAAAUCGCAUCCGGAUCCGGAGAUUAAGAACAUCGAUUUUACAAUUACAGAGACGAUUACAGGACAUCUCACGAAGAAGGCGAACAAGUGUUUAAUUGAAAGGUUUAAGAGGAGGAGGAGGAUCGAGGAGAGAGAGGAUUACGUCCUUGAUGCUCUGUUUGUGGACCAGAGGCGAUGAAAUCCUUACGUAAGUUGCAGAUUUCCUUUCCACUGUAUUCUGAUGUAUAAAACUGGGUUGAUUUCGUGUUCUUUGUUUAUGUAGCUCUAUUACUUUGAUGAUCGAAUAAAUUUGGCAAGAUUUGUGACCCAGAGGAAUGUGAUGUUGUUAUAUUCUAUCACUUCGGCUUGAGUUGGUUAGAAUUAGAAAGAACUUGUUUUGAUAAUUAUAGUGAAUGAAUAGUCAUUUUAUUUUUUGUAUUUAUCUAGAUGGAAGCAGAGCUUCUAUCUUCUACGUUUGCGAUGUCAGAUUUAAAGUUUCUAGAUGAAGGUACGUCAUAACUUUUUCCACCCCUUUAUAAAAAUUA